AGCUCUGUGAUUAUAUGCCCAGAUUUGGGGGCGUAUACGCUAUUCUGAUUAAAACGUGAGCAGAUAUCUGAAGAAAAUGAGAGCU